GACGAAGGGGGCUAGCGUUGUUCGGAAUCAUUGGGCGUAAAGCGCGUGUAGGCGGCCCGGUAAGUCCGCUGUAAAAGUCGGGGGCUCAACCCUCGAAAGCCGGUGGAUACUGUCGGGCUAGAGUACGGAAGAGGCGAGUGGAAUUCCUGGUGUAGCGGUGAAAUGCGUAGAUAUCUGGAGGAAUACCGGUGGCGAAGGCGGCAUCCUGGACCGGCAUUGACGCUGAGGAGCGAAAGCCAGGGGAGCAAACGGG
rnacentral:rRNA from 1 species